CUUAUUUUCAUGUUGCAGUCGAAUGAACAUCUCCCUGAGGUUAAAAAGCAAAAUUUGUUUUUAAAUUUUUUAAAUCUUGCGAUUUCCUCACCUGUUUAUCUUUGAACCAAAUGAAUAUAGUUAUGCAACAGAGUACAAAUAUGCAACUGUAAAGUAAUUAAAAAAAAAAAAAGCAUGGACUUUGGAGGCAACCAGAUCAUGGCUUGAAUUCAGUUUCACUGCUUCCAGCUAUUUUAUCUAAGGUAAGUUAUUUGAUUCUUUGGCUUUAGAUCUUUACCAUCAGAAUGGGCAAACUGAUUUUCAUAAGCCCUUGCAAAGGUGUUCUGAGUAGCGAAUGAGGUAAAAGUUUGUCUAACGUCCCAGAUAUAGUCUGGUGUGUAAGAGAUGCUGAAGGCUUCUUAUUUCUUUCUAUUACUGCUGUGAAAGUCUACUGAAAGAAGUGAUCAGCAGCACACUGGAGGUAUGAAUUUGUAGAAAAACACUAUUUCCCAGGGAUAGCAUGCUAGGACUUCCUAACAUUAGCUAUGUUAUUUUACAGCUGACAGCCAAUGACAAAUUUCUAGGUUCCGUGCAAAAGGCUCAUAUUUAAAUGAUUUUCCUGGCACAUGAAAAGUACUUAAACAUAAAAUCAUAUUUUAAAUGUUAUAUUUCAAGUCAGUAAACAAAACCCUAUUCCGUCCAUUAUAUGGUUCAAAUCAAUAAACUGGUAACUGAUUCCAAGGGUCCUUAAGCCAGAGGAUCCUAGGGAUCUCUGAACACUACAAAUUAUAACUACAGUCAGGCACGAGGACCCCUAUAAAUGUGUCCCCUCAUAAAUGCAAUGCAAACACUAGCAAAUUUGUCAAAAUCAACUUUUCAGGACUCUCAAAAUUAACCAAAGGUCUGCCAUGAUCUAAGGUGCAUUUGUUAAAGAAAAUCUGCUAAAUCUCAUAAUACUGAGCUUUUUGUUGUUUUAACAAGCCUUACUACUAUCACCGUCUCCCCAGCUCUGCAACAGCCUUGACAACCAGCUGCUUCCCAAUCUCUGUAGCUUUGAAAAGCAGCAGCUUAGAAGGGGCAAACUGGCUAGGAAACUCCUCCUAAAAGCCCCGUCCUUAGGUCCUUAGAGAACCAUCACAAUUUGGUCUGUCUCACAGCACCCUGGAGAAGCUCCAGUCAUACUUUCCAUUAUCUGAGCUGACUGGGUGCUAGCUGUGUAGGAAAAUCCCUGUUCCUAAGGCAUCUGUCAAAACCAGUCAUCAGCAAUUGUUUCUCACUGCAGCUGCUGGAAGCAAUGAUGCCAGUAAGGACAAACAGAAGAGUCUUGCCAAGAACUUCUAAGGAAGAGCGGAGAAACGAGAGAUCCACAGAGGACUCUGAAAAGCUCUGACAUAAUCCUGGAGAUCCAGGAGGCCAGCCAUGUAGAGAGUGCACAUAAGCUGGCUUCUUCCUGACUUCCUGAGUCAGAAUUUCAGUUGUUCCAGUAUCUAUAACUUGCACAUGUCGACUGAAAAAAAAAUACGCACAACUUAAAAGGUGCGAGUUAUGUUUUAUCUGGGGAACUUACUGAAGACUACAGCCCAAGAAACUCUCAGAUAGCUCUGAGGAACUGUUCCAAAGAGGUUCAUCAUUUAUUGACAGUCAAGAUACCCUAUUUGUUCUAGCACAGUGAAGACUUCUUGGACAUUCUCUCCACUGUACCCCAUGACCCAGCACAUUUUCCCGUCUAAGUUAGAGAACACUGAAUGCGUUUUCUAAGGUUCUGGCUGAAAGUAUUUUACAACCUUAAAGCACCCACCAGUCUCUUAUAAAGGUGAUGUACUAAGGCAAAGUUUGGAAGAAUCAUGCAAAAAACACCAGCAUCAAAACUCUCAUCCCCCAGACUCAUGCAAGCCCCUGACAGGAUCUGGAUCUCUGUGUUUAGAUAUACCAAUAUAGUACACCAGUUCCAUUUAUGCCAUCAGACUGCUUAUCUGGAGGAUACACUGGACAGGCAUUCUUCUGAAAAGAGCAGAAUAUCAUCUAAAGAAGCCUGGAUUAUAAUUUAGUUGCUGCAUAUUCAUUUAUGAAAAUCUCAGUCAACCUAUGGUUAUCUUCCAUGUGAAAGAGAUGAGGUAUCAAUUGACUGCACAACCUAAAAUAAGCUGAAGCAACCUCCCAAGCUCCACAGAAUCUGAAGAUUCAGUUAUUUGGUUUAAAU